rnacentral:rRNA from 1 species
UAUUAGACUAACAGGAUUCCCCUAGUAACGGCGAGUGAAGCGGGAAGAGCUCAAAUUUUAAAUCUGGCGGACUCCGGCCGUCCGAGUUGUAAUCUAGAGAAGCGUCAUCCGCGCCGGACCGCAUAUAAGUCCCCUGGAACGGGGCGUCGCAGAGGGUGAGAAUCCCGUCUUUAAUGCGGACCGCCGGUGCUAUGCGAUGCGCUCUCAAAGAGUCGAGUUGUUUGGGAAUGCAGCUCAAAACGGGUGGUAAAUUCCAUCUAAAGCUAAAUAUUGGCGAGAGACCGAUAGCGAACAAGUACCGUGAGGGAAAGAUGAAAAGCACUUUGGAAAGAGAGUCAAACAGUACGUGAAAUUGUUGAAAGGGAAACGAUUGAAGUCAGUCGCGUCCGCCGGGAUUCAGCCUCGCUUCUCGCUCGGCGUAUUUCCUGGUGUGACGGGUCAACAUCGAUUUCGACCGUCGGAUAAGGAUCGAAGGAAUGUGGCAUCUUCGGGUGUGUUAUAGCCUUUGGUCGCAUGCGUCGGUCGGGAUCGAGGAACUCAGCACGCCUUUAUGGUCGGGGUUCGCCCACGUAACGUGCUCAGGAUGUUGGCAUAAUGGCUUUAAACGACCCGUCUUGAAACACGGACCAAGGAGUCUAACAUGUCUGCGAGUGUUUGGGUGCAAAACCCGAGCGCGUAAUGAAAGUGAAAAGUUGGGACCCCUCUCGGGGGCACCGACGCCCGAGCCGGACCUCUUGCGAUGGCUUCGAGGUAGAGCAUAUAUGUUGGGACCCGAAGAUGGUGAACUAUGCCUGAAUAGGGGCGAAGCCAGAGGAAACUCUGGUGGAGGCUCGUAGCGAUUCUGACGUGCAAAUCGAUCGUCAAAUUUGGGUAUAGGGGCGAAAGACUAAUCGAACCAUCUAGUAGCUGUCUGCCGCUUCUCUCUCCCCACAGAGGAAGAAACCCUUUUUAGAGAGGGGCGCGCACAUAAACCUCCGCGCCCUAAAACCCAAAAUUUGGACGAUGGAUUUGCACGUAAGAAUCGCUACGAGCCUCCACAAGAGUUUCUUCUGGCUUCGCCCUAUUCAGGCAUACUCCCAUUCUUUCGGUCACAUUAUAUUCUCUACUCGAGCAUCCAGAGUCGGCUCGGGCUCGGUCCGAAGGUCCUAUGAUCAUACGCUCGUUACCAACUCGC